GUGGGGAAUAUUGGGCAAUGGGCGAAAGCCUGACCCAGCAACGCCGCGUGAAGGAAGAAGGUCUUCGGAUCGUAAACUUCUAUCCUUGGUGAAGAUAAUGACGGUAGCCGAGAAGGAAGCCCCGGCUAACUACGUGCCAGCAGCCGCGGUAAUACGUAGGGGGCAAGCGUUGUCCGGAAUGAUUGGGCGUAAAGGGCGCGUAGGCGGCCUGGUAAGUCUGGAGUGAAAGUCCUGCUUUUAAGGUGGGAAUUGCUUUGGAUACUGUCGGGCUUGAGUGCAGGAGAGGUAAGUGGAAUUCCCGGUGUAGCGGUGAAAUGCGUAGAGAUCGGGAGGAACACCAGUGGCGAAGGCGACUUACUGGACUGUAACUGACGCUGAGGCGCGAAAGCGUGGGGAUCAAACAGGAUUAGAUACCCCAGUAGUCC
rnacentral:rRNA from 1 species